rnacentral:rRNA from 1 species
CACGGCUAAACUAUGUGCCAGGCAGCCGCGGUAAUACAUAGGGUGGCAAGCGUUAUCCGGAUUUUAUUGGGCGUAAAGAGUGCACAGGUGGUUAUAUAAGUUUGAUGUUAAAGACCGAAGCUCAACUUCGGUUCGCAUUGAAAACUGUAUAACUAGAAUGCAGGUGGGAAUAGUGGAAUUCGAUGUGUAGCGGUGGAAUGCAUAAAUAUAUCGAGGAACACCAGUGGCGAAGGCGGCUAUUUGAACUGUAAUUGACACUUAAGCACGAAAGCGUGGGGAGCAAAUAGGAUUAGAUACCCUAGUAGUCCACGCCGUAAACGAUCUAGAUUAGAUGUCGGAAUUAUUCGGUAUCGCAGCUAACGCAUUAAAUCUAGCGCCUGGGUAGUACGCACGCAAGUGUAAAACUCAAAGGAAUUGACGGGGACCCGCACAAGUGGUGGAGCAUGUGGUUUAAUUCGAUGAUACGCGAAAAACCUUACCUACGCUUGACAUACUUGGCAAAACUAUAGAGAUAUAGUCGAGGUUAACCAAUGUACAGGUGGUGCAUGGUUGUCGUCAGCUCGUGUCGUGAGAUGUUUGGUUAAGUCCAGCAACGAGCGCAACCCCUAUCCUAUGUUACCAGCAUUAAGUUGGGGACUCAUGGGAGACUGCUAGGGUAACCUAGAGGAAGGUGGGGAUGACGUCAAAUCAUCAUGCCCCUUAUGCGUAGGGCUACACACGUGCUACAAUGGUACAUACAAAGUGCUGCGAACCCGUGAGGGUAAGCGAAUCACAAAAAAUGUAUCUCAGUCCGGAUCGAAGUCUGCAAUUCGACUUCGUGAAGUUGGAGUCACUAGUAAUCGUAGGUCAGCAAUACUACGGUGAAUACGUUCUCGGGUCUUGCACACACCGCCCGUC